rnacentral:rRNA from 1 species
UAAUUGNNNGUCAACUUGUGAACUGCAGGACACAUGAACAUCGACAUUUCGAACGCACAUUGCGGUCCACGGAUACAAUUCCCGGACCACGCCUGGCUGAGGGUCG